AUUGCCUCAGUAACUGCGAGUGAAGCGGCAAAAGCUCAAAUUUGAAAUCUGGUACCUCUGGGUGCCCGAGUUGUAAUUUGGAGAGGCAACUUCGGAGAGGGCGCUGGCCUAAGUUCCUUGGAACAGGACGUCACAGAGGGUGAGAAUCCCGUGCGUGGCUGGCUGUCCUUCUUCAUGUGAAGUGUCUUCGACGAGUCGAGUUGUUUGGGAAUGCAGCUCAAAAUGGGUGGUAAACUCCAUCUAAGGCUAAAUACUGGCGAGAGACCGAUAGCGCACAAGUAGAGUGAUCGAAAGAUGAAAAGCACUUUGAAAAGAGAGUUAAACAGUACGUGAAAUUGUUGAAAGGGAAGCGCUUGAGACCAGACUCGGUGAUUGGUGAUCAGCGGUAGCUUUUGCUCCGUGCACUUGCCUUUUACCGGGCCAGCAUCAGUUGCAGGGGUGGGAUAAAGACCUAGGGAAUGUGGCUCCCUUCGGGGAGUGUUAUAGCCCUGGGUGUAAUGCUGCCUGUUGCGACUGAGGACCGCGCUUUGGCUAGGAUGCUGGCAUAAUGGUCUUCAGCGACCCGUCUUGAAACCCCGGACCA
rnacentral:rRNA from 1 species